CCAAAGGCCCUCUUUAGGGCCACCAAAAAUAUUUUUACUUUAUUCU
rfam:Strongyloides venezuelensis genome assembly, scaffold: SVE_scaffold0000004